rnacentral:rRNA from 5 species
CCGCAACGAGCGCAACCCUUAUCCUUUGUUGCCAGCGAUUAGGUCGGGAACUCAAAGGAGACUGCCAGUGAUAAACUGGAGGAAGGUGGGGAUGACGUCAAGUCAUCAUGGCCCUUACGACCAGGGCUACACACGUGCUACAAUGGCGCAUACAAAGAGAAGCGACCUCGCGAGAGCAAGCGGACCUCAUAAAGUGCGUCGUAGUCCGGAUUGGAGUCUGCAACUCGACUCCAUGAAGUCGGAAUCGCUAGUAAUCGUGGAUCAGAAUGCCACGGUGAAUACGUUCCCGGGCCUUGUACACACCGCCCGUCACACCAUGGGAGUGGGUUGCAAAAGAAGUAGGUAGCUUAACCUUCGGGAGGGCGCUUACCACUUUGUGAUUCAUGACUGGGGUGAAGUCGUAACAAGGUAACCGUAGGGGAACCUGCGGUUGGA